rnacentral:rRNA from 1 species
ACACGUAGGGGCCUGACGUUGUUCGGAAUCAUUGGGCGUAAAGGGCGCGCAGGCGGCCGUCCAAGUCCGGUGUUAAAUGGUCGGGCUCAACCCGAUCAUGCGCUGGAAACUGGGCGGCUUGAGUCCCGUAGGGGAUGCCGGAAUUCCAGGUGUAGGGGUGAAAUCUGUAGAUAUCUGGAAGAACACCGAUGGCGAAGGCAGGCAUCUGGCCGGAGACUGACGCUGAGGCGCGAAGGCGCGGGGAGCGAACAGGUUUAGAUACCCUGGUAGUCCGCGCAGUAAACGAUGCGCACCAGGUGUCGGGCGGCAGCGCCCGGUACCGGAGCUAACGCGAUGAGUGCGCCGCCUGGGGAGUAUGCCCGCAAGGGUGAAACUCAAAGGAAUUGACGG